rnacentral:Y_RNA from 1 species
GGGUGGUCCAAGUGCAGAGGUGUUUACAAUUAACUUAUUGCCAUUGCAAUUUCUUUGCUCUUUUUCCACUCCCAGUCUUCACCUGACUAGUCUUAA